GUGGGGAAUCUUAGACAAUGGGCGCAAGCCUGAUCUAGCCAUGCCGCGUGAGCGAUGAAGGCCUUAGGGUUGUAAAGCUCUUUCGUGGGGGAAGAUAAUGACUGUACCCCAAGAAGAAGCCCCGGCUAACUCCGUGCCAGCAGCCGCGGUAAUACGGAGGGGGCUAGCGUUGUUCGGAAUUACUGGGCGUAAAGCGCACGUAGGCGGACUGGAAAGUCAGGGGUGAAAUCCCGGGGCUCAACCCCGGAACUGCCUUUGAAACUCCCAGUCUUGAGUUCGAGAGGGGUGAGUGGAAUUCCGAGUGUAGAGGUGAAAUUCGUAGAUAUUCGGAAGAACACCAGUGGCGAAGGCGACUCACUGGCUCAUUACUGACGCUGAGGCUCGAAAGCGUGGGGAGCAAACAGGAUUAGAUACCCGAGUAGUCC
rnacentral:rRNA from 1 species